AACGAACGCUGGCGGCAGGCUUAACACAUGCAAGUCGAACGCCCCGCAAGGGGAGUGGCAGACGGGUGAGUAACGCGUGGGAACGUGCCCUAAGGUACGGAACAACUCCGGGAAACUGGAGCUAAUACCGUAUGUGACCGAUAGGGGCAAGAUUUAUCGCCUUAGGAUCGGCCCGCGUCAGAUUAGCUAGUUGGUGGAGUAAUGGCCUACCAAGGCGACGAUCUGGAGCUGUUUUGAGAGGAAGAUCAGCCACACUGGGACUGAAGACACGGCCCAGACUCCUACGGGAGGCAGCAGUGGGGAAUCUUGGACAAUGGGCGCAAGCCUGAUCCAGCCAUGCCGCGUGAGUGAUAAAGGCCUUAGGGUUGUAAAACUCUUUCGCCGAGGACGAUAAUGACGGUACUCGGAGAAGAAGCUCCGGCUAACUUCGUGCCAGCCGCCGCAGUAAAAC
rnacentral:rRNA from 1 species